GCAGAGAGGGCUGGACUUGUCCUCGUCCACCUCUGCGGCAGACACAGCCAUCUAGGUAGUGAAGGCUUUACCUCCGUGUGUUCUGCUGAAAGGGAAGGUCAUUCAAGAGGCCUCGAACAGAAGGAAGAUUAGUGACUUUUAAAAAGAAACUCUGGGCCUUCAACUGAGACUACCCUUCCUUCCCCAUCCUCAGCCAACCACGGAUCUGCUCCCUGUCGUUGUACAUUGAACUCUUCAUGUGAUAUGCCACUGUUUGUUACCUCUGGUUUCUUUCGUUUGAUGCUUUCAAGUUUCAUCUAUGUAGCAGGAUCAGCAGAGUCCAGAAGAGAGAAGACAAUCCCAGAAUACGAGCUCAACACCUGGAAACCACAAGUUUGUCAAGAGACCCUCAGAAUCAGACAUUCAUACCAGGAGCCCUAUGGAACCUGCUUUGACCCACAAAACUGCUUUGACCCAUCAUAAUUUGGGAAGAUAUAAUGAUCUCUCAAAGAGCACUUUAACUCCAGAGGGAGAGAACCAGGCCCCAUUGAAUGAGAUCCCCGCCCAGAAACCAGCACCAUGUGUGGACCACUGCCAGCAUGGGGAGAGCCAGAUCCAAGCCUCUCUCUGUGAGUCAGUGUCAUUUUAAAGACUGUAGAGGGAGAGAACCAGGCCCCAUGGGGGGAGAUCUCUGCCAGGAAACCAUAUCAUUUUCAUUGUUUUGUUGGGUUGUGUUUUUGUUUAUUUUAACUCUGAUGGCAUGAGCAGCUGUUUAAAAAAUAGCAAGACAUGUUAUGGAAGCCAUUAUAUAUUUACUACUGGCUUGUUUUGAUGUCCUCUAUUGCAUUCAUUGUUUUGUUUUUAUUGUUUCUAUUGUAUUCUGUUGUGUUUGAUUUUUAAUAUGCCCAAAGGUAGUAUCCGCAGCUAUUUUGAAGACAACAAAGGCACUAUGGUAACUGUUGCUGAUUUCAUAAGGUUUGGAAGUCCUGUAUCACUUAUUCUGGUUUAUUUUGAUUGAUUUUAUUCUGUUUUACUUUCCUCAUUUUUAUCUUCCUUAAAAUAAAAAAUUAAUUAAUUAAUUAAAAAUAGCUAGAUCUCAUGUGGGAUCGUUGUGCAACUGGAGGUGUGGUCACAGGGCUGAAGUCUUAAAAACUCAAAAGCUUCUGUUCAGGCUUAGUUUAUAUGGAGAUAUUCAAAAUGCCUUGUACCAAAUAG